rnacentral:rRNA from 1 species
UACGUAGGGCGCGAGCGUUGUCCGGAUUUAUUGGGCGUAAAGAGCGUGUAGGCGGCCAGGUAGGUCCGCUGUGAAAACUCGAGGCUCAACCUCGAGAUGUCGGCGGAAACCAUCUGGCUAGAGUCCGGAAGAGGAGAGUGGAAUUCCUGGUGUAGCGGUGAAAUGCGCAGAUAUCAGGAAGAACACCCGUGGCGAAGGCGGCUCUCUGGGACGGUACUGACGCUGAGACGCGAAAGCAUGGGGAGCGAACAGG